AUAAUUAAGAAAUUUUUAAUGGCUUUUUUCGUUGUGUUUUUGAAUAUUAAUAUUUCGCCUCAAGUUCUUGAUCUCUGAAAUUUGCAUUCCUACACUUAUCUAUAAAAAUUUGUUUGCCUUAAUCAAUGUCGAUUGGCUUUUGUUAAGCAAAGGUAAUGUUUUAUCGGUUACAUUUUGAAAACUUUCGAUAAUAAAAAACACUUUAAACCAUUUGGAAACUCUUUUCUAUCAGCUGCUCGUUUCCUAAUUUGGUUAAGCAUGUUAACUCUAUCGUUUGCUUUUAAAAACGUAUUCGUUUGUCAAGAAUAUGAUGAUAUUAUUGUUUUCGUUUGAGUCACGCAAUUCAGAAGUAUUUUAAUUCAAGCCAUAAAGACCAUAACUAAAGAAAAGUUUAAAAUUUUUAUUUAUUUAUUUUUGCUUUUUCUAAAAUCUAAAUUAAUUUCAAAGUUCUUCAACAACGGUUCUCAGUGACAAGACGUGUAUUCUUUGAGUAUCCGCGUUCUUUAUCUUAAUUCUUUAUUUUUUAACGGUUUCUUU